UACGGAGGGUGCAAACGUUAAUCGGAAUUACUGGGCGUAAAGCGCGCGUAGGCGGUUAUACAAGUGGGAUGUGAAAGCCCAGGGCUUAACCUUGGAAUUGCAUUCCAAACUGUAUGACUGGAGUACGAGAGAGGGGGGUAGAAUUCAGAGUGUAGCGGUGAAAUGCGUAGAUAUUCUGAGGAAUACCAGUGGCGAAGGCGGCCCCCUGGCUUGAUACUGACGCUGAGGUGCGAAAGCGUGGGGAGCAAAC
rnacentral:rRNA from 1 species